AUUGAACGCUGGCGGCAUGCUUUACACAUGCAAGUCGAACGGUAACAGGCCGCAAGGUGCUGACGAGUGGCGAACGGGUGAGUAAUGCAUCGGAACGUGCCCAGUCGUGGGGGAUAACUACUCGAAAGAGUAGCUAAUACCGCAUACGAUCUAUGGAUGAAAGCGGGGGACCGUAAGGCCUCGCGCGAUUGGAGCGGCCGAUGUCAGAUUAGGUAGUUGGUGGGGUAAAGGCUCACCAAGCCAACGAUCUGUAGCUGGUCUGAGAGGACGACCAGCCACACUGGGACUGAGACACGGCCCAGACUCCUACGGGAGGCAGCAGUGGGGAAUUUUGGACAGUGGGCGCAAGCCUGAUCCAGCAAUGCCGCGUGCAGGAAGAAGGCCUUCGGGUUGUAAACUGCUUUUGUACGGAACGAAACGGCUCUGGUUAAUACCCGGGGCUAAUGACGGUACCGUAAGAAUAAGCACCGGCUAACUACGU
rnacentral:rRNA from 1 species